rnacentral:rRNA from 1 species
GGAUUCCCCUAGUAACUGCGAGUGAAGCGGGAAAAGCUCAAAUUUAAAAUCUGGCGGUCUUUGGCCGUCCGAGUUGUAGUCUGGAGAAGUGCUUUCCGCGCUGGACCGUGUAUAAGUCUCUUGGAACAGAGCGUCAUAGAGGGUGAGAAUCCCGUCUUUGACACGGACUACCAGUGCUUUGUGAUGCGCUCUCAAAGAGUCGAGUUGUUUGGGAAUGCAGCUCAAAAUGGGUGGUGAAUUCCAUCUAAAGCUAAAUAUUGGCGAGAGACCGAUAGCGAACAAGUACCGUGAGGGAAAGAUGAAAAGCACUUUGGAAAGAGAGUUAAACAGUACGUGAAAUUGCUGAAAGGGAAACGCUUGAAGUCAGUCGCGUCUGCCGGAACUCAGCCUUCCUCUUGGUUGGUGCACUUUCCGGUAGACGGGUCAGCAUCGAUUUUGACCGUCGGAAAAGGGCUGGGGAAAUGUGGCACCCUUCGGGGUGUGUUAUAGUCCUCAGUCGCAUACGGCGUUCRKSRWYGAAGAACGCAGCGCGCCGCAAGGCAGGGGUUCGCCCACUUACGCGCUUAGGAUGCUGGCAUAAUGGCUUUAAACGACCCGUCUUGAAACACGGACCAAGGAGUCUAACAAACCUGCGAGUGUUUGGGUGGAAAACCCGAGCGCGUAAUGAAAGUGAAAG